ACCUUAUCCAGAGUGGCUGAGAGAACAGGCUCAAUGACGCCCAGCAACCUGCAUCCCAUUCGAUGCGUGGUGCCAAUUCCUGCAUUUCUUUACGAAGUGAGAGAUAAGAA
rnacentral:ncRNA from 2 species